CAGCCGCCGCGGUAAUACGAAGGGUGCAAGCGUUAAUCGGAAUUACUGGGCGUAAAGCGUGCGUAGGCGGUUUGUUAAGUCUGCUGUGAAAUCCCCGGGCUCAACCUGGGAAUGGCAGUGGAUACUGGCAAGCUAGAGUGUGUCAGAGGAUGGUGGAAUUCCCGGUGUAGCGGUGAAAUGGGUAGAGAUCGGGAGGAACAUCAGUGGCGAAGGCGGCCAUCUGGGACAACACUGACGCUGAGGCACGAAAGCGUGGGGAGCAAACAGGAUUAGAUACCCCGGUAGUCCCUGUCUCUUAUAC
rnacentral:rRNA from 1 species